rnacentral:rRNA from 1 species
CCUACGGGCGGCUGCAGUGGGGAAUAUUGCACAAUGGGGGAAACCCUGAUGCAGCGACGCCGCGUGAAUGAAGAAGUAUUUCGGUAUGUAAACCUCUAUCAGCAGGGAAGAAAAUGACGGUACCUGACUAAGCAGCCCCGGCUAACUACGUGCCAGCAGCCGCGGUAAUACGUAGGGGGCAAGCGUUAUCCGGAUUUACUGGGUGUAAAGGGAGCGUAGGCGGUUGAGCAAGUCUGAAGUGAAAGCCCGGGGCUCAACGCCGGGACUGCUUUUGAAACUGUUCGACUGGAGUGCAGGAGAGGUAAGUGGAAUUCCUAGUGUAGCGGUGAAAUGCGUAGAUAUAAGGAGGAACACCAGUGGCGAAGGCGGCUUACUGGACUGUAAAUGACGCUGAGGCUCGAAAGCGUGGGGAGCAAACAGGAUUAGAUACCCCUGUAGUC